rnacentral:rRNA from 1 species
GCACGGGUGAGUAAUACGUAUCCAACCUGCCGUCUACUCUUGGACAGCCUUCUGAAAGGAAGAUUAAUCCAGGAUGGGAUCAUGAGUUCACAUGUCCGCAUGAUUAAAGGUAUUUUCCGGUAGACGAUGGGGAUGCGUUCCAUUAGAUAGUAGGCGGGGUAACGGACCACCUAGUCAACGAUGGAUAGGGGUUCUGAGAGGAAGGUCCCCCACAUUGGAACUGAGACACGGUCCAAACUCCUACGGGAGGCAGCAGUGAGGAAUAUUGGUCAAUGGGCGAUGGCCUGAACCAGCCAAGUAGCGUGAAGGAUGACUGCCCUAUGGGUUUGUUAACUUCUUUUAUAAAGGAAUAAAGUCGGGUAUGCAUACCCGUUUGCAUGUACUUUAUGAAUAAGGAUCGGCUAACUCCGUGCCAGCAGCCGCGGUAAUACGGAGGAUCCGAGCGUUAUCCGGAUUUAUUGGGUUUAAAGGGAGCGUAGAUGGAUGUUUAAGUCAGUUGUGAAAGUUUGCGGCUCAACCGUAAAAUUGCAGUUGAUACUGGAUGUCUUGAGUGCAGUUGAGGCAG